rnacentral:rRNA from 1 species
GUGGGGAAUCUUGCGCAAUGGGCGAAAGCCUGACGCAGCCAUGCCGCGUGAAUGAUGAAGGUCUUAGGAUUGUAAAAUUCUUUCACCGGGGACGAUAAUGACGGUACCCGGAGAAGAAGCUCCGGCUAACUUCGUGCCAGCAGCCGCGGUAAUACGAAGGGGGCUAGCGUUGCUCGGAAUUACUGGGCGUAAAGGGCGCGUAGGCGGACAGCUUAGUCAGAGGUGAAAGCCCAGGGCUCAACCUUGGAAUUGCCUUUGAUACUGGCUGUCUUGAGUUUGGGAGAGGUGAGUGGAACUCCGAGUGUAGAGGUGAAAUUCGUAGAUAUUCGGAAGAACACCAGUGGCGAAGGCGACUCACUGGCCCAAUACUGACGCUGAGGCGCGAAAGCGAGGGGAGCAAAAGGGAUUAGAUACCCCGGUAGUCC